UACGUAGGUGGCAAGCGUUAUCCGGAAUUAUUGGGCGUAAAGCGCGCGUAGGCGGUCUCUUAAGUCUGAUGUGAAAGCCCACGGCUUAACCGGAGUAGUGCAUUGGAAACUGGGAGACUUGAGUGCAGAAGAGGAGAGUGGAACUCCAUGUGUAGCGGUGAAAUGCGUAGAUAUAUGGAAGAACACCAGUGGCGAAAGCGGCUCUCUGGUCUGUAACUGACGCUGAGGUUCGAAAGCGUGGGUAGCAAACAGG
rnacentral:rRNA from 1 species